rnacentral:tRNA from 2 species
AAUGAAUUGGCAGAUUAAUGCUUUAAAUUUAGAAUUUAAUUAGGUGAAAUUAUUCACAUUCAUUA